rnacentral:rRNA from 1 species
GGCCAGACUCCUACGGGAGGCAGCAGUGAGGAAUAUUGGUCAAUGGGCGCAAGCCUGAACCAGCCAAGUCGCGUGAGGGAAGACGGCCCUACGGGUUGUAAACCUCUUUUGCCGGGGAGCAAGCCUGAGCACGUGUGCCCAGGCGGAGAGUACCCGGAGAAAAAGCAUCGGCUAACUCCGUGCCAGCAGCCGCGGUAAUACGGAGGAUGCGAGCGUUAUCCGGAUUUAUUGGGUUUAAAGGGUGCGCAGGCGGGCUGUUAAGUCAGCGGUCAAAGCCCGGGGCUCAACCCCGGCUCGCCGUUGAAACUGGCAGUCUCGAGUUGGAGAGAAGUAUGCGGAAUGCGCGGUGUAGCGGUGAAAUGCAUAGAUAUCGCGCAGAACUCCGAUUGCGAAGGCAGCAUGCCGGCUCCACACUGACGCUGAGGCACGAAAGCGUGGGUAUCGAACAGGAUUAGAUACCUUGUA